CCGCUGCCAGCCCGCCCUGCCUCUCCGGGGCUGGGCCAACCCCCGGGCCUCCCGACACGGCGUUUGGCGGAGCACCACGUCUCCUUUCCUCACGGCCCCCAUGUGCCCGGGGCGGAGGAGGCGGCUUGCUGGGCAGAAUUCCAGUGGGACGGCAUGUACUCCUUUUCCGAGGACAAUGAAAUCAGGAGCUGAGUACCAGACUACACUGACGCUUGAGGCUUGGCUGAACAGACAGAGGUCUGCUGGUGCGGGAAUGUGUCAGAAGCUGGAACACCAGUAGUUCAGGCUGUAGAGGCAACUGGAGACCAUCAUUGAGUUUAAUGGCAAGAAGAUCAGGCAUAAUAGGAAGACACUGGACACAGAGCAAUCUGACCAUCAGGUACUUCCUGCUUUGGUAAACGGACAAGAGGCCAGUGGGCAUCCAAAGGAGCAGCAAAGAUAAAAAGUGCUAGCAAAAAAGCACAACCUGCAUCAGAUUUAAGCAACUGAUCUCAAGAUAAAAGGUGACUCAUGGCAUAAUCAAUCUUCA